rnacentral:rRNA from 1 species
CGCGUAGGUGGUUUGUUAAGUUGGAUGUGAAAGCCCCGAGCUUAACUUGGGAAUUGCAUUCGAUACUGGGAAGCUAGAGUAUGGGAGAGGAUGGUAGAAUUCCCGGUGUAGCGGUGAAAUGCGUAGAGAUCUGGAGGAAUACCGAUGGCGAAGGCAGCCAUCUGGCCUAAUACUGACGCUGAGGUACGAAAGCAUGGGGAGCAAACAGGAUUAGAUACCCGUGUA